UACGUAGGAGGCAAGCGUUGUCCGGAUUUACUGGGCGUAAAGCGCCCGCAGGCGGUCAAGCAAGUUCGGAGUGACAGUUCCCGGCUUAACUGGGAAAGUGGUUCGAAAACUGUUUGACUUGAGGGCUUGAGGAGGAAUGCGGAAUUCCAGGUGGAGCGGUGAAAUGCGUAGAGAUCUGGAGGAACACCAAAGGCGAAGGCAGCAUUCUGGCAAGUACCUGGACGCGUCAGGGG
rnacentral:rRNA from 1 species